GUGAUCUCUGGAGAGUCACAACCUCCCCGAGCGUCAGUUUCCUGAUCCGUAAAGUGAAUGGGAUUCAUCUAGAUGACCUCUGGGGACCCUUCCAGAUCCUUCUAAUCCCUGUGUAUACAUCUUCCCCAUGUGCUGCCUCUAAUUUUUUUUUUCUGGUCUGUAAACCACCAGCAUUUUUCCUUUCUGAUGAGGAGGCAGGUUCGCAUAACAAAUAAAGAUUCAAGUUAGCUCCUGACUGCCGUUUAGAGGCAUCUCCAGGUAGCAGUACUCCCAUACAUCUUUGGGUAGACCUUGAUAUUUUUCCUUGAUCUGCUGUCCCAAAUGACACAUGUUCAUGGAAUUUCUUUUUACGAUCAUUUGUUAUAUUUAGUAUGUUGCUAUUUGAGUCAUUAUGAUCCUUGCGUUUUGUUUUCUGGUGCUCAUAUUUUACUGAUGAUUCUUCAUUCUUCCGAGAGAUGGGCGCCUGCGUUCUCCCUUAACUCUCCACCCUAAAACCAGCUCUGAUCGCUUUGAAGUUGCAAGAAAGACUCAGGUGUUGGGCAGCAAAGCAAGUUGCAUGGUAGUGAAUUGGAAGAUGACAAAUGAUAAAUUAAGAAAAGACAGUGCUGCUCAAUUCUCAUUUUUCUUCUGUUUUUCCCCCCUACUCAGAAUCACCUAUGCACUGGAAGUGACAGAACAAAAAUGGCUGACAGGGAGUUGAUAGCCAAGGUAAAUGAGGACCUAGUGGGAGAUCACCUAGUUGCCCUUGAUGAAUUCAAGUGGAUGCACAGAUGAAGUACAUCCUCAGCUAUACCUUCCAGCUUUGAGUCACUGGGACAUUUGGUAAGCAAGCCUUGGGUGCCUUCAUCUAAAGUACUAAGCAAGGCAAGGCCAAGGACAGAGUCUUGUGGCAUGCUUCUAGAGAUCUCCCUCCAGGAUGACAUCUACCCUGUAACAACAACACUCUUGUCUUCAAGCACUUAAAAAUACAUCUUUAGAUGGAAAAGAACUCACAAAAGGAUAAAUUGUGAAAUUGCACAGUGAAAUGAAAGAAUUAAUUUUCUCAUGAUUUUGUUUGGGCUUCUCAGAACAUGUGAAUAAACCUCUUAUCUAUGAAUAACCAUGAUAUUUUAAAGUGGCAAAAUAUCAGCUUGAAAGUAAAUUGUGACUAAAGAUAUUUAAAGGAAACUAUUUUGGUAAACCCCUAAGAGUAUUCAGGGUAUUUGUCAAAUGCUACAAUAAUCCAUAUUUUUCCAUGUUUUACAUUUUAUUCUUCUGGUUAUACUAAGACUUUAUUUUUGACCUACAUGUGAAAUGGUAUAUGAUUUCAUUAAAUUGUCAGCAGUUAAAAGACUUCCUUUUAAGUCCCUUAACCACUGGAUAGCAUGGUAUUUUAAAAACUUCAACAGGUAUUCUUUUUCUCCAUUUUUCAUUGCUAAAGAAAUGACUUCACAAUCUCAAAUCAAAGUCCACACUGCAGUGAGGAGAGCUUUUCUACUUUAUUACAAAGAGAAGAAGCCUUUAUGUGGUCAGAAAAUACAAGAUUGAUCUUUUUUUUUCUCUUCCUAUGAAACGCUGCUGUUCAAACAGCCAGAGUGAAUUGUCUCAGUUCACUUCUUUAAGUCCCAUCACAUUCACUUGGGUAUGGAUGUCCUUGGCUGCUGAAAAUCUGGCCCUUUAGUGCACAGGGCGACAAAGGAGUCCCCUGACCAGCAGUUCCAGAAUGUCCCGUUUUCAUAUAUUGCAUCCAUGCACACCUCCUAAAAAUGAGGUACAGCAGGGCAAACAUUUUCCAAAAUAGAUGUCAUAUAUAUAAUAUAUACACAUUCGUACAUACAUACCUUUAUUCAUGUGAUGUCCAAAAAUUUAAAAAAAAUGUACACAUUUAUUACAAAAUCGUAACAAAGACUGGACAGUGUUUUGCUCAUUCUGGAAAGAUGAAGCUCAGUAAUAACACAACCCUAGAAACCAUCCAGAGGUUGUGGCCAUAUCGUUCUUCUAAACAGUCAGAUAUUCUUGCAUUUAAGCUUGGCGAAAAACUGCCUUUCAAAAACAGAAGGGAGAAGUAAAAUGAAGGAAGCAGACCUUGCUCAUCUUUCCAAAUGAAAUACGAGAAGGAUCUUCACAUAAAAAUGCACAAACAUUUUUUUUUAUUACCAAUAGUGCUACAAUGAACAAUGCAAAUUUUGUUGUCUAAUUUUUUGGGGUUUUUUGCUUUUUUUUUCCUGGGUUUUUUUUCCUUUUUUACAUUUUGGAAACUAUGUGGUAAACUUUGUCAGUGUACUUUUUUGUCAUUACAGAUCAAUGUCUGCUGUCCAAAAAAAAUGGAAAAA